rnacentral:rRNA from 1 species
GACGAACGCUGGCGGCGUGCCUAACACACGCAAGUCGAACGGAGAUACGAUUUCGGUUGUAUCUUAGUGGCGAACGGGGUGAGUAACGCGUGAGCAACCUGACCUUUAGAGGGGGAUAACACUUGGAAACAGGUGCUAAUACCGCAUAAGACCACGACCUGACAUCAGGAUGAGGUCAAAGGAGAAAUCCGCUAGAGGAGGGGCUCGCGUCCCAUUAGAUAGAUGGCGGGGUAACGGCCCACCAUGUCGACGAUGGGUAGCCGAGCUGAGAGGCUGAUCGGCCACACUGGAACUGAGACACGGUCCAGACUCCUACGGGAGGCAGCAGUGGGGAAUAUUGGGCAAUGGGCGCAGGCCUGACCCAGCAACGCCGCGUGAGGGAAGAAGGCCUC